ensembl:lncRNA
GUAACUACAGAUUUUAAAUACUCAACAUGUAUGCUUGUGUUCUAUAGUGUUUUGUCGUAUAAAGCGACAGAGAAGGACAUAUUUGAAGAUUUGAAAGGUUGCCAGGAUUUGCCACAGUGCCUUCUCCAAAAGGAACAGGACUUCAAAGGUUUUCUGGCAUAUGUUGAGGGACAGAAGCUUCAGGAUACACUGCUGUCUGCAUCUGAAUUGUCAUCCAACUAUCAAAACAAAAUUCUCCUCAUGAUGGACGAGGAGGCAGAAUCACUACAGAGAGCAGAAGAGGAACACUUAAAGGACCCUUUGAACUCCAUGAAGGUUGGCCAAGCCUGCCUACGCAAUGACUCAUGCCUCACGAAGGUUCACAGGGACACAGUAGUGAGGAUAUUUGGUCAGACCUCGGAGAACGGCAGUAGUGUUUCUGAUUAUGAUGGUUCAACACUGGCCACAAUACUGCUUCAGACAGAGCUUAAGACUGCAUCUCUUUUCUCUAUCGAUGGCAACACGAGCAUCUCUUUUCAGAGGAACUUCAUGAGAGUAUUUAAAACGCAUGAACUUAGUGCCGUCUUGGAAACUGACAAACAUGACUACCAGAUACUUGAUCGAGCUGACUUAACUGUCAAGUACACUUCCAAAAUCUCACAUAGAGGAAUGGAUCGCACAACCCAGUAUGAUGCACAGAGCAUCCUAAUAAUGCAAGACGACCCUGUGGUACGAGAAGCUGCCACCUUCCUGUACGAGAAACACCCCACAGUGAGCUCCGUCUACAUGUUGGAUCAGAACGGUCGUCCCAAAUUAAUCAAAGGAGAUCCCUUACGUUUGUCGCCUGAGAGCCGACUGGUUCUGGUAGGUCACGGAGAGAAACACAGCGAUGGAGAAAUGAGACUGGCUGGGUACCGGUCAGAGGAAGUGGCUGAGAUCGCCUCGCGAAUGCCAAGGGUGGGAGGGGAGAUUAAAACCACCAGUGUUGUGGCCUGUGAGGUGGGCUCGGAUGAAUCCUUCAUCAGGACAUUGCUGAAGGAGCUCCAUGCCAGGUCUGUCGACACAGAGCUUCAUUUGAGGAACUCCCUUUUGGAAGUGAGUCACUUAGGAGAGAAGACGACGGUGGAGAUCACACCCAGUGGACUGGUCAGAAGGCAUAAAGAUGACAGCAAAAAGGUCAUAGCUUGGCGGGAUAACAAUGGGGAAAUAGCCACCCGAUUUCAGUCAAACAGCAAAGGAAAGGAGAUUUUUUCAAAUGAGAUCAACUUUUUGGCUGGUAGUGAGUCUCAAAACACCCAGCCAUCUGAACCAAUGAGAUUUGUCGAUCAAAAUGUGCGCAAGUCCCACACUGAUGUCCUUGAGGGUUUGGCAUGGGGCUUUUUUGGAAAACCUGAAGCAGUUGGAUUAAAUAAUAUUGUAUUUAAUAAUAAUGAUGAGUACAUUGUGAAGCAUCCAGAAAGUAGUAAACAAAAUGAAAAGUGGCUUUCCAGCUGGGACCAAAGAGAUGGUGCAGUAAGUACAGAGAAAAAUAACAACAAAGGUACAAAGAAAAUCAACAACAAAAGUAAAAAGCAAAACAACAACAAAGGUGCUGAAAGAUUUGGAGAGAGUCAUAGAAGUAAAAGUCACAUUGAGAACAUUCUUAAAAAGUGCUAUGAGAUUAAGUCGAUCAAUGAUGUAAGGAAUAUAAUCAAUCAUUAUGCAAGAUCUAAAGAAAAAGUCUCAUAUCUUAUGUUGCAUGACUGGAUUUUCAAAAUAGAUGAAGCACUCUAUGUAUUUCCUAUUGGGAAACGGCUUAAUAAUAAUGAGAAAGGAAAUUCAGCUAAAAUAGAGGAAAUCACAAAAAGUAUUACAGAACAGGUUGGGAAAGAAAGUUAUACAGCUAUGCGAUCCAAUAUUGGAAAGGGAACUGAAUAUGUUUCGUUUGUCAGAAACAUUCUUAGGGGUUCUGAUGAAUAUAAGUUGAAAAUGUCUAAAUCAACUGAAGCUUGGCGCAGCACAUACUUCUUAGCCUCUAUAGUCUCAGAGUCGAGCAGAAAUUUCCGUGCAUUUCCAAUCAUCUUAAUGGCACUAAGUAUGUGUGAGAAUUUUGACCAUACGGGACUUAAAUUUCUCCUGGACAAAAACCCAAUGGCACAGGGUGGUAGUUGGAUAUCCCCAAAGAAACGAGGAUUUUACGGGUCAAGCAGUGCUGAAAAUGAUGGACAGCGAA